GAUGAACGCUAGCGACAGGCUUAACACAUGCAAGUCGAGGGGCAGCACAGGUAGCAAUACCGGGUGGCGACCGGCGCACGGGUGAGUAACGCGUAUGCAACUUGCCUAUCAGAGGGGGAUAACCCGGCGAAAGUCGGACUAAUACCGCAUGAAGCAGGGGCCCCGCAUGGGGAUAUUUGCUAAAGAUUCAUCGCUGAUAGAUAGGCAUGCGUUCCAUUAGGCAGUUGGCGGGGUAACGGCCCACCAAGGCAUCGAUGGAUAGGGGUUCUGAGAGGAAGGUCCCCCACAUUGGAACUGAGACACGGUCCAA
rnacentral:rRNA from 1 species